AUUUAAAUAGUUUAAUAAAAAUAUUGACUUGUGGGGUCAGAGCUAUAUAAAUUGUAUUUUAAAUA
rnacentral:tRNA from 1 species